rnacentral:rRNA from 1 species
UACGAAGGGGGCAAGCGUUGUUCGGAAUGACUGGGCGUAAAGGGCGCGUAGGCGGUUCGGUGCGUCAGAUGUGAAAGCCCCGGGCUCAACCUGGGAACUGCAUUUGAUACGGGCGAGCUUGAAUCCAAGAGAGGGUGGUGGAAUUCCCAGUGUAGAGGUGAAAUUCGUAGAUAUUGGGAAGAACACCAGUGGCGAAGGCGGCCACCUGGCUUGGUAUUGACGCUGAGGCGCGAAAGCGUGGGGAGCAAACAGG